AGCAGCAGGGUGUCGUCGGCGUUGAACUGGGAGAACUGGGUGUAGCCCCAGUUAAACUGCCGCAUGCUGGUGCUGUGCACCAGCGAGAUAUUACCAUCUUGCCGUUCCGUGUCCCAUAGCUGCACACAACAAACCACAACACAGUGCAGUCUUUGGAGCAGGAGGAGAACCGGUGACCCCUGUGAGAGAAGGCCAGGUGGAGGACUUGGUCACUGUGCUCUUUCAGCGUCUGAACCUCCACACAGGGGAUACAGUCAAACAGACGCUUGAACUCCCUGUACCACGACACAGCCACUGCACAAAGAGCGUGGUAUGCGGUAGUAGCUGUAGAACAGCUCCCUCCAAAGGAACUCAUCUCUGGAGACAGCCAGCCAUUGCCUGCAGGUCAGACCAGCACUCAGCACGGCAUCAUGGGGCAGACGCAGGAAGAUCUCCAACACCAGGCUGUCUGGCAGAAAUGCGCCACACUCCAUAACAUCCUGUGUAUCGAACAAACACACACAUACACACACAGAGUUUGUAGAGACUGACAAAUGGACAUGCAGCCAUUUAGUAAUGGAUCAAGACAUUUUUUACCACUGCAUUAAAGAUAUUAUGUAUGAUUAUUUUCAAUAUCAAUUACUCUCAUAAUUAGUUUCUCAAUUCAUCUGUUGGUCUAUAAAAUGUAAGACAAUUGUGAUUAUGUUUUCCUACAGCCCAAGUUGCUGUUUUCAGAUGUGUCUUGUUUUGUCCAACUAACAGUCCAAAUAUAUUUACUUUACUGCUAAGAUUAGACAUAGAAAGCAGUAAAUCCUUAAGUACACAGCUGUAACUAGGUAAUGUGAGAACUAAUUGUUUCAGCUCUAGUCAAAUACAGAGGUGGACAUAGAGACCACAUUAAUACUUUGCUUAUAACUUGACUUUGAUACUGAUUUUGCAAAAAGUAGCUUGAAAUAAACUGGUUUAAACUGAAA